rnacentral:rRNA from 1 species
AUUGAACGCUGGCGGCAGGCCUAACACAUGCAAGUCGAACGGUAACAGGAAGAAGCUUGCUUCUUUGCUGACGAGUGGCGGACGGGUGAGUAAUGUCUGGGAAACUGCCUGAUGGAGGGGAUAACUACUGGAAACGGUAGCUAAUACCGCAUAACGUCGCAAGACCAAAGAGGGGGACCUUCGGGCCUCUUGCCAUCGGAUGUGCCCAGAUGGGAUUAGCUAGUAGGUGGGGUAACGGCUCACCUAGGCGACGAUCCCUAGCUGGUCUGAGAGGAUGACCAGCCACACUGGAACUGAGACACGGUCCAGACUCCUACGGGAGGCAGCAGUGGGGAAUAUUGCACAGUGGGCGCAAGCCUGAUGCAGCCAUGCCGCGUGUAUGAAGAAGGCCUUCGGGUUGUAAAGUACUUUCAGCGGGGAGGAAGGGAGUAAAGUUAAUACCUUUACUCAUUGACGUUACCCGCAGAAGAAGCACCGGCUAACUCCGU